UUUUCUGUUGAUGGUAGAGAUCCAGAAACCAUAUGUUUGAUUUUCUUAUUCGUUUCUUUUUUUUCUUAUUAUUAGAAAAAUAAAAGACAAUUUAGAGCGAGGAAACAUCCCUAGUGGGUAGAAUACUAUUGAAGAAGAUCAAUCGCUACAGAUGACUGGCGAUGCGUCCGCUCAUAUAUAGUCCGGGCUGUUUAGCUUUCUGUAGACCAAGAGAUGAGAAGUGGACUGCCAUUGAAAAUAAGCAAUUCGGGUUUGAAGACAUUAUUUUCUACGAUGGGAAAGUGUCUGUUAUUACUUGCCAAUUCGAUCUUAUGUUUGUAGAGUUUGGCCCUCCUCCAAAAGGAACAAGUUGUAACAUUGCUCCUCCAGCAAAAGAGGAACAUGACCGGUUGAUUCGUUUUCAUUUACUGGACUGUCUUGGAGAGUUGUUGGUGGUUUUAAGUUGUCAUUCAUUUUUUAACCUACAUGAUUGUAUGUUCAAGAUAUUCAAGUCAGUACUUGACUACACUGGAUUUAGAAGAAACUCCAUAUAUUUCUACUACUCUGGACUUAAAUGUCUCAAAAAGUAUAAAUCAGAAUGCAAGUUGUGUGAGUUUCACUUCGAA